UACGUAGGUGGCAAGCGUUGUCCGGAUUCACUGGGCGUAAAGCGCGCGCAGGCGGUCUUCUACGUCUGGGGUGAAAACCCGGGGCUCAACCCCGGGACUGCCUUGGAUACGGGGAAGACUUGAGGAUCGGAGAGGCAAGGGGAAUUCCACGUGUAGCGGUGAAAUGCGUAGAGAUGUGGAGGAACACCUGUGGCGAAAGCGGCUCACUGGACCAUAACUGACGCUGAUGCACGAAAGCUGGGGGAGCAAACAGG
rnacentral:rRNA from 1 species